rnacentral:rRNA from 1 species
AGAGUUUGAUCCUGGCUCAGAUUGAACGCUCGCGGCAGGCUUAACACAUGCAAGUCGAGCGGAGAUGAGAUGCUUGCACCUUAUCUUAGCGGCGGACGGGUGAGUAAUGCUUAGGAAUCUGCCAUUUAGUGGGGGACAACAUUCCGAAAGGAAUGCUAAUACCGCAUACGUCCUACGGGAGAAAGCAGGGGAUCUUCGGACCUUGCGCUAAAUGAUGAGCCUAAGUCGGAUUAGCUAGUUGGUGGGGUAAAGGCCUACCAAGGCGCCGAUCUGUAGCGGGUCUGAGAGGAUGAUCCGCCACACUGGGACUGAGACACGGCCCAGACUCCUACGGGAGGCAGCAGUGGGGAAUAUUGGACAAUGGGCGGAAGCCUGAUCCAGCCAUGCCGCGUGUGUGAAGAAGGCCUUUUGGUUGUAAAGCACUUUAAGCGAGGAGGAGGCUACCUGGAUUAAUACUCUGGGAUAGUGGACGUACUCGCAGA